GAUGAACGCCGGCGGCGUGCUUAACACAUGCAAGUCGAACGGAAAGGCCAGUGCUUGCACUGGUGCUCGAGUGGCGAACGGGUGAGUAACACGUGGGUGAUCUGCCCUGCACUUCGGGAUAAGCCUGGGAAACUGGGUCUAAUACCGGAUAGGACAAUGGUUUGGAUGCCGUUGUGGAAAGUUUUUUCGGUGUGGGAUGAGCUCGCGGCCUAUCAGCUUGUUGGUGGGGUAAUGGCCUACCAAGGCGUCGACGGGUAGCCGGCCUGAGAGGGUGUACGGCCACAUUGGGACUGAGAUACGGCCCAGACUCCUACGGGAGGCAGCAGUGGGGAAUAUUGCACAAUGGGCGCAAGCCUGAUGCAGCGACGCCGCGUGGGGGAUGGCGGCCUUCGGGUUGUAAACUCCUUUCGCUAGGGACGAAGCGUAUUUGUGACGGUACCUGGAGAAGAAGCACCGGCUAACUACGUG
rnacentral:rRNA from 1 species